UCUCCCGUGAGGGAGCAGUCUCGCCUGGCCAUAUAGGCAACAGACAACGGGGGUUGCGUUCGUUACCCCACUGAAGGGAACAACUCAAGCCACGAACUGACGACGACCAUGCAUCACCUGUACAGCACCCUCGAAGGCUACUAAAGUUUCCUAAAGUAUGCAGCUGUAUUUCUAGCCUUGGUAAGGUUCUUCGCUUGUCGACGAAUUAAGCCACAUGAUCCACCACUUGUGCGAGUCCCCGUCUAUUCCUUUGAGUUUUAAGCUUGCGCUCGUACUACCCAGGCGGCUCGCUUACCGCGUUAGCUUAGCCCCGCAGAGGGUCGAUACUCCGCAGAGCGAGCGAGCAACGUUUAGGGCCAGGACUAC
rnacentral:misc_RNA from 1 species